UGCAGAGCUGUCUCUUUGUGUCCUUGGAUUU
rnacentral:piRNA from 1 species